rnacentral:rRNA from 1 species
AGUGAACGCUGGCGGUAGGCCUAACACAUGCAAGUCGAACGGCAGCACAGUAAGAGCUUGCUCUUACGGGUGGCGAGUGGCGGACGGGUGAGGAAUACAUCGGAAUCUACUUUUUCGUGGGGGAUAACGUAGGGAAACUUACGCUAAUACCGCAUCCGACCUACGGGUGAAAGCAGGGGAUCUUCGGACCUUGCGCGAUUGAAUGGGCCGAUGUCGUAUUAGCUAGUUGGCGGGGUAAAGGCCCACCAAGGCGACGAUCCGUAGCUGGUCUGAGAGGAUGAUCAGCCACACUGGAACUGAGACACGGUCCAGACUCCUACGGGAGGCAGCAGUGGGGAAUAUUGGACAAUGGGCGCAAGCCUGAUCCAGACAUACCGCGUGGGUGAAGAAGGCCUUCGGGUUGUAAAGCCCUUUUGUUGGGAAAGAAAAGCAGCAGGUUAAUACCCCGCUGUUCUGACGGUACCCAAAGAAUAAGCACCGGCUAACUUCGUG